rnacentral:tRNA from 1 species
GCGUCGGUGGUAUAACGGUUAGCAUAGCUGCCUUCCAAUCAGUUGACCCUGGUUCGACUCCAGGUCGACGCA